CCUCCCGAGUGGCGCAGUGGUCUAAAGUACUGCAUCGCAGUGCUAGCUGUGCCACUAAAGAUUCUGAGUUUGAGUCCAAGCUCUGUGGCAGCGGGCCGCGAACUGGAGACUCAAGGGGUGGCGCACAAUUGACCCAGCGUCGUCGGGUUUAGGGGAGGGUUUGGCCGGAGGGGUGUCUGCGCGCACUAGUGACUCCUGUGGCAGGCCGUGUGUUUCGGAGGACGCACGGCUCUCGACCUUUGCCUCUUCCGAGUCCGUACAGGAGUUGCAGCGAUGAGACAAGACUGUAACAUUCAGGAGAAAAAGGUACUGGCAGGAGGAGCAAUAUGGGUCUGUCAGAGGUCGUCACGCUGGAUGGGGAUGGUGAUGGAGGCUUUUGUGGUCCACACAAUGAAGAAGCAGGUGUCCAUUCCAGUGAUGUGAAGCUGGCCUUGGACCUGGUGCCAGUAAGGAUGGUCUUCACAGAGGCGGCUGGUGGUUCCUGGUGCCCUUGCUGAUGCCUUCCCUCACGACACCCCUCCGCCUCCCCUGGACAUUGAUGGGUCCCCUGCCUAUGCCAUCAGGAGUGGAGGAGUGCUGUUGGGUUCCAGCGGCCGACAUCCUGG